rnacentral:rRNA from 1 species
UACGUAGGUGGCGAGCGUUGUCCGGAAUUACUGGGUGUAAAGCGCGCGUAGGCGGGAGGCCAAGUCCGCUGUGAAAUCGCCCGGCUCAACUGGGCGCGGUCGGUGGAAACUGGUCACCUGGAGGACGGUAGAGGCGAGUGGAAUUCCCGGUGUAGUGGUGAAAUGCGUAGAGAUCGGGAGGAACACCAGUGGCGAAGGCGGCUCGCUGGGCCGGCCCUGGACGCUGAGGCGCGAAGGCGUGGGGAG